CAGAUAUUCUAAUAACUCCUACAAAACUGAAACACUCUGAGAUUUUAUUAAAGCCCCAAUUAAACAAGGGUCACUAAAGGAGAGAUGCAAGACUGAUACCCCUGUAGCACAGCAUUCUGCGAAUCAAGUACUUUUCCUCUCUUCUUGAAGAAAAAUGUCUGGUAGAACAGGUUGGCCAUCUUUACAAAUGUGCCUUGGACCAGCCGUGGGUGUCUGAAAUGGAUCAUACUCAAUAACGUAACAGUGGUGACAUUAUUGUUAGUUGUAAUAUUAAUAUUAAUAAAAAUGUCAACUAUAGUCCUCUAUUGUGAGGGCUGAAUAGG